rnacentral:rRNA from 1 species
GUUGAUAGGUCAGGUGUGUAAGCGCAGUAAUGCGUUCAGCUAACUGAUACUAAUUGCCCGUAAGGCUUGAUCCUAUAACA